rnacentral:lncRNA from 1 species
GUAAGUCCAUUUGAUCUCAAAUAUUAAAUUUCGCUACAAGCAACAGUGACUAUCAGUUAAUUUAAACAAGAAGUCGCUUAUUCACAAAAUCCAUCUAAUACAACACAACUGGAAAAUUUCACCUCCCCCAUUUCCCGCCUGUCUGCAUUUAAGACUGAUAUAUAUGACAGAAAGAUUCCAGCUAUUGGGAAGAAAACAGUUUAUGUAUAUAAAUAACUUGCAGAAUCUUUGCCAAUCUCCGAUAACUAAUAUACA